GCCCCCGUAGCCCAAUGGAUAGGGCACUAGCCUCCGGAGCUAGUGGUGCAGGUUCAAUUCCUGCCGGGGGCA
rfam:Candidatus Omnitrophica bacterium CG1_02_44_16 cg1_0.2_scaffold_875_c, whole genome shotgun sequence.